rnacentral:rRNA from 1 species
UACGAAGUUAGCCGGAGCUUCUUCUACGGGUACCGUCAUUAUCGUCCCCGUCGAAAGAGUUUUACAACCCGAAGGCCUUCAUCACUCACGCGGCAUGGCUGGAUCAGGGUUUCCCCCAUUGUCCAAGAUUCCCAACUGCUGCCUCCCGUAGGAGUCUGGGCCGUGUCUCAGUCCCAGUGUGGCUGAUCUUCCUCUCAGAACAGCUAUCGAUCGUCGCCUUGGUGAGCCGUUACCUCACCAACAAGCUAAUCGAACGCGGGCUAAUCCUUCGGCGAUAAAUCUUUCUCCGCUAGGACGUAUACGGUAUUAGCUGCAGUUUCCCGCAGUUGUUCCGUACCGAAAGGUAUAUUCCCACGUGUUACGCACCCGUCCGCCGGUGAUGUAUUGCUACACCCCCUAGACUUGCAUGUUUGAGGCCUGCCGCCAGCGUCGUUCUGUAGCCACGGAGUCAACUAC